rnacentral:rRNA from 1 species
UGAGGAAUAUUGGGCAAUGGAGGGAACUCUGACCCAGCCAUGCCGCGUGAGUGAAGAAGGUUUUCGGAUUGUAAAGCUCUUUCGGAUGUGACGAUGAUGACGGUAGCAUCUAAAGAAGCCCCGGCUAACUUCGUGCCAGCAGCCGCGGUAAUGCGAAGGGGGCAAGCGUUGUUCGGAAUUACUGGGCGUAAAGGGAGUGUAGGCGGUUUGAUAAGAUAGGGGUGAAAUCCCAGAGCUCAACUCUGGAAUUGCCUUUAUAACUAUUAGACUUGAAUUAUAGAGAGGAUAGUGGAAUACCCAGUGUAGAGGUGAAAUUCGUAGAUAUUGGGUAGAACACCAGUGGCGAAGGCGACUAUCUGGCUAUAUAUUGACGCUGAGGCUCGAAAGCAUGGGGAGCAAACA